AGUGAACGCUGGCGGUAGGCCUAACACAUGCAAGUCGAACGGCAGCACAGUAAGAGCUUGCUCUUACGGGUGGCGAGUGGCGGACGGGUGAGGAAUACAUCGGAAUCUACUUUUUCGUGGGGGAUAACGUAGGGAAACUUACGCUAAUACCGCAUACGACCUACGGGUGAAAGCAGGGGAUCUUCGGACCUUGCGCGAUUGAAUGAGCCGAUGUCGGAUUAGCUAGUUGGCGGGGUAAAGGCCCACCAAGGCGACGAUCCGUAGCUGGUCUGAGAGGAUGAUCAGCCACACUGGAACUGAGACACGGUCCAGACUCCUACGGGAGGCAGCAGUGGGGAAUAUUGGACAAUGGGCGCAAGCCUGAUCCAGCCAUACCGCGUGGGUGAAGAAGGCCUUCGGGUUGUAAAGCCCUUUUGUUGCGAAAGAAAAGCAGCAGGUUAAUACCCCGCUGUUCUGACGGUACCCAAAGAACAAGCACCGGCUAACUUCGUG
rnacentral:rRNA from 1 species